AUGGCCGAAUCACUAGACAAGGCUCUUGAGUUAUUUGCCACCAAAAAGGUUGAUGCUAGCUUGCACUUGGACUUGAACCGACUUGCCUCCCCGUUUGUUGCUAGGAGUCCUCCACCCAUAAACCAACAUGAAAUGAGUGAACCGUUAUUGACCCAACAAGUGAGGACAACAUUGAGCCCAAUUUCAAAGGACCAAGAUGAAGCAUUGCAAGAGGAGAAUAAUGCGUAUGAGGAUGAUGGGAAUGAUGGGAAUGAUGUUGAUCUCCAUGACAACAAUGUUGGUGAUUUGGACAAAUAUUAUGUGCAAGAGACCAUGGACCAUUCCAUCCCGUACUCCUGUGGUUAUGCAUCGGAGUCGGACGACGAUGGUCCCGAUGAAGAAGGUGAUGAGGAGGGGUUCACAGCGAAGUAG
rnacentral:rRNA from 1 species